AUUGAACGCUGGCGGCAGGCCUAACACAUGCAAGUCGAACGAGUGGCGGACGGGUGAGUAAUGUCUGUGAAACUUCCUGAUGGAGGGGGAUAACUACUGGAAACGGUAGCUAAUACCGCAUACCAUCGGAUGUGCCCCGCUGGGAUUAGCUAGUAGGUGGGGUAAAGGCUCACCUAGGCGACGAUCCCUCGCUGGUCUGAGAGGAUGACCAGCCACACUGGAACUGAUACACGGUCCAGACUCCUACGGGAGGCAGCAGUGGGGAAUAUUGCACAAUGGGCGCAAGCCUGAUGCAGCCAUGCCGCGUGUAUGAAGAAGGCCUUCGGGUUGUAAAGUACUUUCAGCGGGGAGGCGUUACCCGCAGAAGAAGCACCGGCUAACUCCGUGCCAGCCGCCGCGGUAAUUC
rnacentral:rRNA from 1 species